AUACUUGCAGUCGAGGGGACCGACGGGAGCUUGCUCCCUUAGGUCAGCGGCGGACGGGAGAGUAACACGUGGGUAACCUGCCUGUAAGACUGGGAUAACUCCGGGAAACCGGGGCUAAUACCGGAUGCUUGAUUGAACCGCAGGGUUCAAUCAUAAAAGGGGGCUUUUAACUACCACUUACAGAUGGACCCGCGGCGCAUUAACUAGUUGGUGAGGUAACGGCUCACCAAGGCGACGAUGCGUAACCGACCUGAGAGGGUGAUCGGCCACACUGGGACUGAAACACGGCCCAAACUCCUACGGGAGGCAGCAGUAGGGAAUCUUCCGCAAUGGACGAAAGUCUGACGGAACAACGCCGCGUGAGUGAUGAAGGUUUUCGGAUCGUAAAACUCUGUUGUUAGGGAAAAACAAGUACCGUUCGAAUAGGGCGGUACCUUGACGGUACCUAACCAGAAAGCCACGGCUAACUACGUGCCAGCAGCCGCGGUAAUACGUAGGUGGCAAGCGUUGUCCGGAAUUAUUGGGCGUAAAGCGCGCGCAGGCGGUUUCUUUAAUCUGAUGUGAAAGCCCCCGGCUCAACCGGGGAGGGUCAUUGGAAACUGGGGAACUUGAGUGGAGAAGAAGACAGUGGAAUUCCACGUGUAGCGGUGAAAUGCGUAGAGAUGCGGAGGAACACCAGUGGCCAAUGCGACUCUCUGGUCUGUCACUGACGCUGAAGCGCGAAACCGGUGGGGAGCGAACACGAUUAGAUACCCCGGUAGUCCACGCCCGUAAACGAUGAGUGCUAAGUGUUAGAGGGUUUCCGCCCUUUAGUGCUGCAGCAAACGCAUUAAGCACUCCGCCUGGGGAGUACGGUCGCAAGACUGAAACUCAAAGGAAUUGACGGGGGCCCGCACAAGCGGUGGAGCAUGUGGUUUAAUUCGAAGCAACGCGAAGAACCUUACCAGGUCUUGACAUCCUCUGACA
rnacentral:rRNA from 1 species